rnacentral:lncRNA from 1 species
AAGGGAGGAAAUAUGUUGCGUGUCUACGGUGUAUAUUGAUGACUGAAGAUGGAAAAUACGUUUCGCCGUUGCAACGGUCAAAAAUCUAAAAUUAUGUUGUAAUUCCUUAAAAUUCUGACCAUUAUUUCAUCUUAGAAUGUUGUGUGAAUACUUCAGAAUGAGAGCAACACGCGCACAGACAAUGUCGAAAAGAAAACAGUCGUCUGGUUUUCUUGUAGAGCGGAGACUCACAGCGCUACGAUCGGUAAUGCGCAGUUUACGACUUUUAGUCAUCGAUAUGGUUAUUGGCUGGGUUGUGGGUCGUGGUAGAACAAGGAAUACAUAUCGGCACGUUUGUUUUGGCCCUGAAAGCUUAUUGAGCACUAUUUAUUUUUUUAAAAAAAAGUACUCAGAUACUACCUGAAUGUCGGUCCUACAUUCUAUAUCUUGAGUAUAUUCAACCGUAGAGCAUCCUUCAGAAUGUUAACAAUCACCAGAAGAGUCAUAUAUCUGCUGAGUCUGCUUCUAUUGGUGACCAUUCCACCUACUUUUAGCGUCUGUUGUAAUAGUUAUACUUGGGCCCAGGACAUAGGAAAUAACUACUGCGAAGACGGCAGCUAUUGGAAUGCCAGUGUGCGGACCUGUUGCGGAAAAGGCGUCUGUAACAUUUUUUGCUGUAACUGCGAUGGUGGAUGUCUCGGUCAUAGAUGGGGACAUUGAACAUUUAUUCUUCCUCGCGGUAAUUAAACAAAAUAGUGGGAGGAAUAAUGGAAUAUGUACUUUAUGGCAUUUAUCAGAAUAAUUUAAAGGUGUAUUUCAGUCUCUGUAACGACUUUUUUUUUUCAUAAGUAGCUUUGAGAAUUAUAUCUUACUCCAUAUUUUGCUUGCAAGCCGUAUAAAAGGAUCAGAACUAGAGAGUCUUAAUUACACUGCAACGUCGCAAAGUUUUGUUUGACAAUUCUAUCAUUCACUCGAGAGCAAUUGUGAUUUUUUUGAAAAACAAUCGUAAACAUUUUCAUUACGAUUCAACGUAAAUCCCUUGGUAUUUUCAAAAUAAAACAUGCAUCCACAAUGAUAUAUAAAUAAUUCAUACAGUAAAACUUUGCAACAUUGCAAUGCAACUUUAUCCCUGUGACUCUGGUCCUUUUAUAUGAUUCGAAAGGCAUAGGCGUACCUGAAUCAUUUUGCUGGGGGGGGGGGGUGGCCCCCUCACCACCGGAGGAUCUGGGGGGUUGGAAUACCCCCUAGCUCAAAGGGAAAUCCAGGGGGCCUCCCCCGAAAAUAUUUUGAAAUUUUAACUAUAUUUGAGCGCAUCUCGAGGCAUCUGUGGCGCUAAUCAUCCUUCAAUUUCUGCACAAAAAUUACUCAGUAUCAUGUAUUUUAAGGUUAAAAUACCUUCAAAGUGUUGCAUUAAACAGGUUAUUCUGUUUAACUCUCACCUUUAACCACUCUUUUGUGUGAAAAUUGCGAAAAAAUGUUUUGUAAAUUGCCAGAAUCAUUGUUUUUUAUUUAGAAAAGCCCAUGCAAAGUAAGUUAAAUAUAAUAUAAUGAGCAAGAAGUAACUAUGAAUGAUUAAGCAUUUUUUCAAGUGUUUUUGCACCAUCCAGAAUUUCUGCGAGGGCGGCAGGCAGGGGGCCUGCGCCCCCCCCCCCUUCGUACGCCUCUGUCGAAAGGCUGAGAUUGAGAUAGCAACAUGCUUUUAUACCAAUCACAGCACGUAGCUUUCUUCCAGUGACACGGUUUUUCGUUCAAUGUAGUCUGCCCAUGGGCAACCCGAACCCCCUCCCCCCUUUAACCCCUCAAGCAUGAUUGGGUCUAUCAGUAAAGUUACUAGUUACCAUAUGUUCUUUAAUUUUAUAGAAAGUUCGUUCGUUACAUUACAUGUGAAUGCACGGAGUAGCUCGCGGAAAAGUUAUGAGCAAAACCUUUUCUCUGUUGCCAGCGUGGAAACAUUUUGUGCGUAGUGGAUUACUUCAUUACACACUUUCCUUUAUCAGUUUAAGACGUAAAGAUGCGUUUGAAGUGCCAUGAUUGACGAACGAUGAGAUGCAAACUGUUAAACAAUGACCAGUUGGCGGGCGGACGGCUAAUCAAUUUUUGCAAGUUAGAGCGCCUUCAUUUCAAUCUGAUACUGUGCAACACCUCUAAGCCGGAAUAGUUGCUUGAAGCGCCUUGAACAAUCUUGUGUUGUGCUAACCUGCUGGCAUGAUUGCGGCAGCAAUCGCAAAGCAUCGCUGAAAUUAUAAGAAUGUGUAUGUUUUAAGGCCUCUAUAUCGCGGAGGAUUAAAUUAUAAAGUCACACAGUUUGAUUGAGCAGCUUAUUCCAAGAAAUGUCCGAUUUCAAUAGGAAAAAAUCUGAGGAUAAGAACUUCAAGGACAAAAAUUGUAAGGUUUCGGCCGCAAAAUUUUUUGAUAAAUGGAAAACGUUUUUAAUGUAGGUUAUUCACAUUUUAGAAGAUGCCGCGUAGCCAAAAAUAUUACACUCUUCAAUCUUCUUAUAGUGCCGGGUGAACAAGUUUAAACCUUGCAGUCGGGAUCUUUUCAAAGCAAAAGAUUACAUUUUACAUUACAAUUUUUUUUUUAAAUUUUUAUGCAGCGUAACCCUCAGAUGCUUUUGCGAGUUUUUGAACGAUUUCUCAUUUGCAGUUUGAAAAUACUAUAAGAAAAUUUCAUUGAAUAAAGUAUAGUCUGGCCCGUCUAUAGUUUCAUCGAGAAAAAUUCGCUGUCAUUGCAUUAAAAAUUACGAUCUCUCUUGUGCAAAAGCGACGCACUUAAAAAAAAAAAAAAAAAAAAAAAAAAAAAAACUUACCAUUUAAAACAUUUAAAUGCUCUCUCGAAAUUUUCCCAAAAGAAAGUGUUUCGGCUUCCUUUAAUUUUCAUUCUUCAGUUUUUCAGAGAUCUCUUUCAAAAUCCUUCAUGGGUUUUUAUGCAAACUACGGUACCUGAAUAUUACUUUCCCCUUUCGUAAAAAAGAGAAAAACAAACAUGCAUGUUCUUCAACAUGCGGAGCAGAGUAAUUUUGGAGAGAAAAUUAACUGUCGUCAAGUCUUGAGAUCGCCCAUGUGUCGCGUCGCGUCACACGGCGCGGCGCUUCGAGCAACUAUUUCGCCAUGGAGGUGUUGCACAGUAUCAUACACAAUUGAAGGCGCUUCAAAAUAUCAAGAAUAGCAGGCAUAAUUUAAGAGUACGGAACUUUCCCGCGAAAUAAAUCGAGAUACAACACUAGAAGACAGCGGUUGUCCAAAAACUCAACAGAAACAUGCUUUCCCCCUUUAUGGUGGGGGAAAUUUAUAAUUCGUGCGAAUAAAAUCAAUAAAAUCAAUAUCCUAAUCAGAUACCAUAGUUUGCGGAAAAAAUGCAUGGAAGAUUUUGAAAGAGAUCUUUCAAAAAAAAUGAAGAAUGAAAAUUCAAGAAGCCGUCACUUUAUUUUGGGAAAUUUUCCGAAAGAGCGUCGAGAAAUUUUAUACAGAAAAAGGAUUAAAAUAUAACCCAUUUGAUUUGUUCUUUUCAAUUAAACAAUAUUUUAGUAAAAAAAUUAGUACCUAAGCAUGACUUACACACACUUACAAAAAAGUCUCGAAAAAGAAGAGGAACGGAGAGAGUUCUAUUUUUCUGUGAGAAAAUUACGUGAAAGAUGCCCUUAAAAAGCGAAUGAAUUUUCAUAGUUAAUUAAUCCGCAGUACUCUAGUACAGGGAAAAUUCAUUUAAUACUCAGCCUAAAGUGCGUCUGAUUUUACGCCCAUUAAGAAAGGAAAGAUCCUCAAAAAUUUGUUUGCUGUACUUGGCCUCACUAAACUUUAUUAAAGGUGUCGUAUGAUGUCAGGAGCUGGUAGCAAAAGGCUGUAUCUCAAAUUUAAGAAAAAAAUAAAGUAUUCACAUUUUUAAUAUUCUAUGAAGAUGCUCUAAAUAUAUAUAAGAAAAAAAAGGGAAAAAAUCCGUCGGAAUAUUUAACUCCAAUCGCGUAUCAUGUUAAAUUCCAAAAAUGGAGAAUUAAAUGCAAGCGCGAGACGGCAAGAGUAUGAGUUUCGAAUUCAUCACUCAUAAAACGCCUACAAUAUUGGGUACAGCAAAUUGCUGUGCAUCAUUACGUGGCCAUUCGGCCAUUUAUUGUAGUAAACAACAACAUAACCUCAAAAUUCCAUUGCUGUGUCUCGUUCUUGUUUUGCCUCUCAAUUUGCAGAUUUGAUUUUCGUUAAUUUAAAGAUACGGUGAUUUUUUUCUCUCUGCUCUAAAUCUUUCAUAUCAUAGUCGUUGGUUCUUAUAACACUGUCAAGUAACGGUUUUUCUUCUCCGUGCUCUAAUUUAGAGCCAUUCUAACUGAUUAGAUAGCAAACCUAGUGACAUCAUCUGACCUUAAGGGGCUGUUAUCAAUUAAUUUAAAUAAAUUACAAAGCCCAGAUAGAAGAUUCUUGUGAUCAGUGACCGACUGCCAAUGAUGAGCAGAAAUUCUGUCGAACAAGGUCAACCAGUUUGAAUUGUUACAAUGAUAGCAUUCUUCCUCAACACUUGGAUUCUGAUUGCCUCAGUUUGAAAAGUUGCGUUCUACUCGGAUCUGUUUGCCUGGUUGGCAUAAAAACAAGUCAGUUAUACAUCUUACGUUUUUAUGAUCCUACAAAUUAGGAAAACAACGUGAUCAUUCCAUUUUAAACGUUUUGGUCUUUGU